UAUAAUUAUAAUUAUUAUUAAUUUAACUAAUGGAGUGUUUUACUUUUGACAGAUAAGCAAGAGCUGAAUGUACGUUUAGAUACAAAUACAGUUAUUAUUCCAAUUACAAUAACAAUUACAUAAUCACCCUGUACUGGAAAACUGGAGAUAAAUAGUUGGAGGGUGAAAACUCGAAUGAUGUUGCCUGCAGCCCAGACGAGCCGAGACUAAGGCCUUAUCGUAAUAAACCCUCGAGUGCGCGCUUGCGCCCCAAAUGCGGAUUCUGCUCUAGUCUGAUGAUGUAUUAAUCGUCGUUACCGCGACGAGCACUUUACAAGUAAUCCCAAACCGAGGUAUGAGUUUUUAUGAAUUAAUAACCAGCUCUGGCGGGCAGGCUGACUUAUAUUCAGAUAAAUUUUAUUCGAGGAAUAAAGUGAAAAUGAUGAAAAAAUAGCUGAAGCAUUGAUUUUGUCAAAAAUAAUUAACUGUUGAAAGAUUUAGGGAAUGGAUUGUCGGAAAAGAAGAAUAUUAAGAGGAAGAAAAGAGGAAGAAGGAUAAAAAAUAGUCUUAAAGGUUUGGGUUCUGGUAUAAAGUAUAAAUGGUGUUGUAUUCUUUAAAAGAGCGACUACAAGAGGAAGAGAACCAGAGGAGGGAUGUUGAAAAUAAGUAUAUGGCUAAAGGCGUUCUUUCCUGGCGGAUUUUGUUCAGAGCAGUUUGGUUCACGAACCGCGAAACAGCCAGCUAUUUCUUCAUCAUCAUCCCCGGAGCUAGUUUUUUAACACCGGUCUGCUAGGAAUUCCUAUCCGUUGUGAUGUCAACAUCUUUUUCCGUUCGUACGCUCAACAUUUAUCAUCAUCUAUCUUGAGAUUGUCUGCCUGAACGACAGUUGUUACCGGGGACGUUUUUCACCGAUG